GGGGGUUUAGCUCAAAUGGUAGAGCGCUCGCUUUGCAUGCGAGAGGCACCGGGCUCGAUACCCGGAUUCUCCA
rfam:Perkinsus marinus ATCC 50983 gcontig_1104296766826, whole genome shotgun sequence.